rnacentral:rRNA from 1 species
GGCAACAGCUCAAAUUUGAAAUCUGGUCCCCAGGGCCCGAGUUGUAAUUUGUAGAGGAUGCUUUUGGCAAGGUGCCUUCCGAGUUCCCUGGAACGGGACGCCAUAGAGGGUGAGAGCCCCGUCUGGUCGGAUACCGCGCCUCUGUAAAGCUCCUUCGACGAGUCGAGUAGUUUGGGAAUGCUGCUCAAAAUGGGAGGUAUAUGUCUUCUAAAGCUAAAUAUUGGCCAGAGACCGAUAGCGCACAAGUAGAGUGAUCGAAAGAUGAAAAGCACUUUGAAAAGAGGGUUAAAAAGUACGUGAAAUUGUUGAAAGGGAAGCGCCUAUGACCAGACUUGGGCCCGGUGAAUCAUCCAGCGUUCUCGCUGGUGCACUUUGCCGGGCACAGGCCAGCAUCAGUUUGGCGCGGGGGAUAAAGGCUUUGGGAAUGUGGCUCCCUCGGGAGUGUUAUAGCCCAUUGUGCAAUACCCUGCGCCGGACUGAGGUACGCGCAUUUGCAAGGAUGCUGGCGUAAUGGUCAUCAGCGAC